rnacentral:rRNA from 1 species
GGCGGACGGGUGAGUAACACGUAAGAAUUUGCCUUUAGGAGGGGGAUAACAGCUGGAAACGGCUGCUAAUACCCCAUAUGCUUUCGAGUGAAAUGGAUUUCCGCCUAAAGAGAAGCUUGCGGCUGAUUAGCUUGUUGGUGAGGUAAUGGCUCACCAAGGCGACGAUCAGUAUCUGGUUUGAGAGGACGAUCAGACACACUGGAACUGAGACACGGUCCAGACUCCUACGGGAGGCAGCAGUAGGGAAUUUUCCGCAAUGGGCGAAAGCCUGACGGAGCAAUACCGCGUGAGGGAUGAAUGCCUAUGGGUUGUAAACCUCUUUUUUCAGGGAGGAAAACAAUUGACGUUUACCUGAAGAAUAAGCAUCGGCUAACUCCGUGCCAGCAGCCGCGGUAAGACGGAGGAUGCAAGUGUUAUCCGGAAUCACUGGGCGUAAAGCGUCUGUAGGUUGUUUAAUAAGUCAACUGUUAAAUCUUGAGGCUCAACCUCAAAAUCGCAGUCGAAACUAUUAGACUAGAGUAUAGUAGGGGUAAAGGGAAUUUCCAGUGGAGCGGUGAAAUGCGUAGAGAUUGGAAAGAACACCGAUGGCGAAGGCACUUUACUGGGCUAUUACUGACACUCAGAGACGAAAGCUAGGGUAGCAAAUGGGAUUAGAUACCCCCAGUAGUCCUAGCCGUAAACUAUGGAUACUAGAUGUUGAACAGAUCGACCUGUGCAGUAUCAAAGCUAACGCGUUAAGUAUCCCGCCUGGGAAGUAUGCUCGCAAGGGUGAAACUCAAAGGAAUUGACGGGGGCCCGCACAAG